UACGAAGGGGGCUAGCGUUGCUCGGAAUCACUGGGCGUAAAGCGCACGUAGGCGGAUUGCUAAGUCAGGGGUGAAAUCCUGGAGCUCAACUCCAGAACUGCCUUUGAUACUGGGAAUCUCGAGUCCGGGAGAGGUGAGUGGAACUGCGAGUGUAGAGGUGAAAUUCGUAGAUAUUCGCAAGAACACCAGUGGCGAAGGCGGCUCACUGGCCCGGUACUGACGCUGAGGUGCGAAAGCGUGGGGAGCAAACAGG
rnacentral:rRNA from 1 species